GACGAACCGUGCGAACGUUGUUCGGAUUCACUGGGCUUAAAGGGCGCGUAGGCGGAUGGUCAAGUCGGGGGUGAAAUCUUUCAGCUUAACUGGAAAAGUGCCUCCGAUACUGAUCGUCUCGAGGGAGGUAGGGGCAUGUGGAACUUCCGGUGGAGCGGUGAAAUGCGUAGAUAUCGGAAGGAACGCCGGUGGCGAAAGCGACGUGCUGGACCUCCUCUGACGCUGAGGCGCGAAAGCUAGGGGAGCAAACGGG
rnacentral:rRNA from 1 species